AAAUGAAGGAAAAGCCCAUGUUCUUCAACGAGAAAUUGAUAUUUGCCCCUUCAACUCUUAACGAGAAAUUGUGUUGUGGAAAAACCAUAAAUUAUCAAUAUAUAUUACUCCAAGUCUUGGGUGAAGAUAUUGAGUCAGUGGUGAGGAAAGGAUGACAGCCCCUUUGAAUGAUUCUACGGAAAGAAAAGAUACGUAGGAGUAAUGAAUUUGGUAGAAAGAUACGUUAACGUCAUAUGUACUUAUAUAUGGAGAUCGGAAUCAAAGAUUGGAGAUUGGAGAAGAAGACAGUUUAAUGAUUCUGGGUGCACAGAUGAGAUGGUCCAUGACGCACCUGAUCUAAUCCUCUCUUUCCACUCUUUGCCUUUAUUGACAGGGGAAGCACGUGACGCCAUGCGAGUUUCCACCACACACAGCACCACCACCACCACUCUACCAUUAAACGAAACCAACCAUCCAGCCAGCCAGCUCUCUGUUGAAUAUCAUGAAAGGGUUUCCCAGAAAAGAUAAUAAUAAAGCACUCUCUUCUUUUUUUCUCUCUCUGCUCGUGGAUUUCAACGUUGUUCUCGAUGCCACCUUCUGUUUCCUUCUUGCUCCCGUUUCCCCUUCUGCUUCUCAAAAAAUACCACACCCAUAACCGAUUAUAUAUAAAAUUAUUUAAUGACACAAGUGGGGCUUUCUAUUUGUAUGCAAUUUGUGAACAUGAGAUGAGAUAUUUCAUUCUACUUGCAUUGCAUAUGUUAGCGCAAAUGCCCGCAGCAAGAAAAAUAACAAGUCAGUCAAUGCCAUGAAUUCAAUUCAGAAGUUUGGGGAAAGUGAUAAUAAUACAAAGCCAUAAAGUAAUACCGAGAAGAGGAGGACGUACGUUACGCUCCUGUCCUGACACCAUCCCCCUGCUUGUCCACCAUUCAACAGCUCCCUUCCCCAAACCAAACUCCACCAAUGACAUUUUAUUUUAGAACAGAGAGCAUCAGAAAUUGAAGUUUGGAAACAUUCAAUCUCCCCCAGCUCCUCAAAAUAUUGCCAUUUUACUCAUCUCUCUGCCUUACACACCCUGGCACCCAGCUCCUUCUUCAGCAUUUAAAACUGGGCAUUACUAUGCAUUAACCUUGUCUUUCCUCUUACCCUCUUUUCAACAUUCCCUUCAUCUCUCUCUCUAUCUCUCUCUGUAAAAUGCAGCUGUGGGUUUCAAGUUAAACCCGUAAGAAGAAAGGAGAAAACCAUCUGGUUUCUUCUGGAUAUAUGG
rnacentral:lncRNA from 1 species